UACGGAAGGCAGCAGUGGGGAAUAUUGCACAAUGGGCGCAAGCCUGAUGCAGCCAUGCCGCGUGUAUGAAGAAGGCCUUCGGGUUGUAAAGUACUUUCAGUCGUGAGGAAGGUGUUAAGGUUAAUAACCUUAGCAAUUGACGUUAGCGACAGAAGAAGCACCGGCUAACUCCGUGCCAGCAGCCGCGGUAAUACGGAGGGUGCGAGCGUUAAUCGGAAUUACUGGGCGUAAAGGGCACGCAGGCGGUUAAUUAAGUUGGAUGUGAAAUCCCCGGGCUUAACCUGGGAAUGGCAUUCAAGACUGGUUAGCUAGAGUCUUGUAGAGGGGGUAGAAUUCCAUGUGUAGCGGUGAAAUGCGUAGAGAUGUGGAGGAAUACCGGGUGGCGAAAGGCGGCCCCUGGGACAAAGACUGACGCUCAUGUGCGAAAGCGUGGGGAGCAAACAGGGAUUAGAUACC
rnacentral:rRNA from 1 species